rnacentral:rRNA from 1 species
AAUAGAUACCCAGGUAGUCCACGCCGUAAACGAUGGAUACUAGCUGUUCGUCCGCCUCGGCGGAUGAGUGGCUAAGCGAAAGUGAUAAGUAUCCCACCUGGGGAGUACGAACGCAAGUUUGAAACUCAAAGGAAUUGACGGGGGCCCGCACAAGCGGUGGAGCAUGUGGUUUAAUUCGAUGAUACGCGAGGAACCUUACCAAGGCUUAAAUGUAGAUUGACAGGACAGGAAACAGUUUUUUCUUCGGACAAUUUACAAGGUGCUGCAUGGUUGUCGUCAGCUCGUGCCGUGAGGUGUCAGGUUAAGUCCUAUAACGAGCGCAACCCCUGUUGUUAGUUGCCGGCGAGUCAAGUCGGGAACUCUAACAAGACUGCCAGUGUAAACUGUGAGGAAGGUGGGGAUGACGUCAAAUCAUCAGGCCCUUACGCCUUGGGCUACACACGUGCUACAAUGGCCGGUACAGAGAGCAGCCACCGCGCGAGCAGGAGCGAAUCUAUAAAAACCGGUCACAGUUCGGAUCGGAGUCUGCAACUCGA